CGCUAAGAAGCUAAACAGGGAACAGCGUUAGCCUUUUAAGCUAAAGAUCGGUGACUCCCGCCCACCCUUAGCGA
rnacentral:tRNA from 1 species